rnacentral:lncRNA from 1 species
CCUCACCUCUGGCGGCCAUGAGACGAACCUAGCAUCCCCCGCCUCUACAGGCUAUGACCCAAUUCUACAUCUCUCUCGCUUUCAUUACCUGCCACAACUUGACUCGGCAUACCUCACCUCUACUGCUGGUCAGGAUCCUACUAGGUAGCGUCCCUUGCCUCUGUAGUCGGCGACAUCCUAACUCAGCAACACUCGCCUUCAUAACUAACACCUCUUAUCUUCACAACUGGCUUGGUCAUGUUUGAGCACAC